CAGCCGCCGCGGUAAUACCGGCGGCCCGAGUGGCGGUCACUAUUAUUGGGCUUAAAGCGUCCGUAGCCGGGUUGGGAAGUCCUCCGGGAAAUCUGGCCGCUUAACGGUCAGAAUGCCGGAGGAUACUCCCAGCCUAGGGAGCGGGAGAGGCCGAGGGGAUUCCCGGAGUAGGGGUGAAAUCCUAUAACCCCGGGAGGACCACCUGUGGCGAAGGCGCUCGGCUGGAACGCGUCCGACGGUGAGGGACGAAGGCCAGGGGAGCAAACCGGAUUAGAUACCCGGGUAGUCCUGGCUGUAAACGAUGCGGACUUUGUGUCGGACAAGCUAUGAGCUUGUCCGGUGCCGGAGGGAAACCGUUAAGUCCGCCGCCUGGGGAGUACGGCCGCAAGGCUGAAACUUAAGGGAAUUGGCGGG
rnacentral:rRNA from 1 species